ACAUGAAGCUGGAAUCGCUAGUAAUCGCAGGUCAGCAUACUGCGGUGAAUACGUUCCCGGGUCUUGUACACACCGCCCGUCACACCAUGGGAGCCGGAAAUGCCCGAAGCCAGUGACCCAACCUUAGGGAGGGGAGCUGUCGAAGGUGGAGCCGGUAACUGGGGUGAAGUCGUAACAAGGUACC
rnacentral:rRNA from 1 species